rnacentral:rRNA from 1 species
GACGAACGCUGGCGGCGUGCUUAACACAUGCAAGUCGAACGGAAAGGCCCUUCGCGGUACUCGAGUGGCGAACGGGUGAGUAACACGUGGGUGCUCUGCCCUGCACUCUGGGAUAAGCCUGGGAAACUGGGUCUAAUACCGAAUAGGAGCGCGCGCUUCUUGGUGUGUGGUGGAAAGCUUUUGCGGUGUGGGAUGGGCCCGCGGCCUAUCAGCUUGUUGGUGGGGUAAUGGACUACCAAGGCGACGACGGGUAGCCGGCCUGAGAGGGUGACCGGCCACACUGGGACUGAGAGACGGCCCGGACUCCUACGGGAGGCAGGAGUGGGGAAGAUUGCACAAUGGGUGCAAGCAUGAUGGAGCGACGCCGGGUGAGUGAUGACUGCCUUCGGGUUGGAAACCACUUUCACCAGGCACGGAGCGCAAGGGACGUAACCUGGAGAAGAAGCACCGGCCACCUACGU